GAUGGCUUGCGAACAGUUUGACCGGUGAACUUGUUUAUCUGACGUGGGGGGUUGGCAUGAUCUCAUCCUCCCCCCCCCCCCGUCGAGGGGCGGCCGUGCGUGACGCGGCCUCCUCUCGACGAACACAAACCCCGGCGCCUCGCGCGCCAAGGAAUCGGAAAUUGUCCAGUGCGGCCCCGGGGGGAGCUGGAGACAGCGUCCCGCGGGUCCCGUCACCACACACGGAAAAAGAAUGACUCUCGGCAAUGGAUAUCUCGGCUCUUGCAUCGAUGAAGAACGUAGCGAAAUGCGAUACUUGGUGUGAAUUGCAGAAUCCCGUGAACCAUCGAGUCUUUGAACGCAAGUUGCGCCCGAAGCCACUAGGCCGAGGGCAUGCCUGCCUGGGUGUCACACAUCGUUACCCUCACGCAAAGGUCCGGUGGUGGCCGAUGCGUGGUGUGUAUGAUGACCUCCCGCGAGCGGUGUCCCGCGGUUGGUUGAAAAUCGAGUGCACGGUCGGGUAGGCCGUGAUAAAAUGGUGGACGGGCAACGCCCGAGACCAAUCACGCGCGAUCCUGCCCGGGGUGACCCUAUGACCCCUGCUGCGUCUUCGGAUGC
rnacentral:rRNA from 1 species